rnacentral:pre_miRNA from 1 species
CAACUACUCCCUUCGUCCGGAAAUACUUAUCAUAAGAAUGGAGGUACCUAGAUAUGUUUUAGUUUUAGAUACAUUCAUUUUUAUUUAUUUAUGUGACAAGUAAUUUCUAACAAAGGGAGUAUAUU